AAUAAUAGAAUGACAAAUUAGAUUUUUUUUCUCAUGAUAUUCAGCUUUUUCUCCUAAAUAAAUUCAAAUCUAACUAAAAAUACUAAAAAUCAGGAGGAAAAAUCAGAUUUGUCAUUCUCCUAUU
rfam:Gossypium hirsutum cultivar TM-1 chromosome 24, whole genome shotgun sequence